rnacentral:misc_RNA from 1 species
CACAGAUUCAAGAACUUGGGAAAACUCGAAUGAAAUGAAAGCAGGUGCAUCUCCUGGGGCAUUAACAAGUGUAAAUUCAACUCAAAAUGUUGUUGAUCCCCAGUCUAAUGGCAAUGAUGGUUGGGGCAGUGGAUAUUAUAGAAAUGAAAAUAUUACUGGGACACCAAAUCUGAAGGGGAGUUCACCACAGAAUCUUACUAAUUCCCCAACAAAUGACAAUGACAGUGGGUGCAGAGGAUUCCCCAGUAAGAAGGAUGUCAAGGAGGAACCUAGGUUGACAGCGACUACAUCUCAUCCAGCUGAGAAUCAGAAAAAUGGAGAUAGCUGGACUGGAAAAAGCUUGGAAGGGUCAGCAGUG